UGGGGAAUCUUGGACAAUGGGCGCAAGCCUGAUCCAGCAAUGCCGCGUGGGUGAAGAAGGCCUUCGGGUUGUAAAGCCCUUUUGUUUGGGAGCAAAGCUUACUCAUUAAUACUGGGUGAGGAUGAGAGUACCAAAAGAAUCAGCACCGGCUAACUACGUGCCAGCAGCCGCGGUAAUACGUAGGGUGCGAGCGUUAAUCGGAAUUACUGGGCGUAAAGGGUGCGCAGGUGGUUUUGCAAGACUGACGUGAAAGCCCCGGGCUCAACCUGGGAACGGCGUUAGUGACUGCAAGACUAGAGUGUGGCAGAGGGGGGUGGAAUUCCACGUGUAGCAGUGAAAUGCGUAGAGAUGUGGAGGAACACCGAUGGCGAAGGCAGCCCCCUGGGCUAACACUGACACUCAUGCACGAAAGCGUGGGGAGCAAACA
rnacentral:rRNA from 1 species